UACAGAGGCCCCGAGCGUUAAUCGGAGUUAUUGGGCUUAAAGGGUGCGUAGGCGGUCCCGCAAGUGUCUUGUGAAAUCCCACGGCUCAACCGUGGAAUGGCUCGGCAAACUGCGGGACUCGAGGUUGGUAGAGGUCGCUGGAACGCUAGGUGUAGCGGUGAAAUGCGUAGAUAUCUAGCGGAACGCCGAAGGUGAAGACAGGCGACUGGGCCAAUUCUGACGCUGAGGCACGAAAGCGUGGGGAG
rnacentral:rRNA from 1 species